UACAGAGGUCUCAAGCGUUGUUCGGAUUCAUUGGGCGUAAAGGGUGCGUAGGUGGCAUGGUAAGUCGGAUGUGAAAAUCCCGGGGGCUCAACCCCCGGAACUGCAUUCGAUACUGCUGCGCUAGAGUACUGGAGAGGAGAUUGGAAUUUACGGUGUAGCAGUGAAAUGCGUAGAUAUCGUAAGGAAGACCAGUGGCGAAGGCGGAUCUCUGGACAGUUACUGACACUGAGGCAGCGAAGGCCAGGGGAGCAAACGGG
rnacentral:rRNA from 1 species